rnacentral:rRNA from 1 species
AUUGAACGCUGGCGGCAGGCCUAACACAUGCAAGUCGAACGAGUGGCGGACGGGUGAGCAAUGGCUGGGAAACUGCCUGAUGGAGGGGGAUAACUAGUGGAAACGGUAGCUAAUACCGCAUACCAUCGGAUGUGCCCAGAUGGGAUUAGCUAGUAGGUGGGGUAACGGCUCACCUAGGCGACGCUGCCUAGCUGGUCUGAGAGGAUGACCAGCCACACCGGGACUGAGACACGGUCCAGACUCCUGCGGGAGGCAGCAGUGGGGAAUAUUGCACAAUGGGCGAAAGCCUGAUGCAGCCAUGCCGCGUGAAUGAAGAAGGCCUGCGGGUUGUAAAGCACUUUCAGCGGGGAAGCGUUACCCGCAGAAGAAGCACCGGCUAACUCCGUGCCAGCAGCCGCGGUAAUAC